rnacentral:rRNA from 1 species
UACGUAGGGUCCGAGCGUUGUCCGGAAUUAUUGGGCGUAAAGGGCUCGUAGGCGGUUUGUCGCGUCGGCCGUGAAAACUUGGGGCUUAACCCCAAGCCUGCGGUCGAUACGGGCAGACUUGAGUUCGGCAGGGGAGACUGGAAUUCCUGGUGUAGCGGUGAAAUGCGCAGAUAUCAGGAGGAACACCGAUGGCGAAGGCAGCCCCCUGGGCUGAGAUUGACGCUCAGGCACGAAAGCGUGGGGAGCAAACAGG